CUGGCUCAGAACGAACGCUGGCGGCAGGCUUAACACAUGCAAGUCGAGCGCCCCGCAAGGGGAGCGGCAGACGGGUGAGUAACGCGUGGGAAUCUACCCUUGACUACGGAAUAACGCAGGGAAACUUGUGCUAAUACCGUAUGUGUCCUUCGGGAGAAAGAUUUAUCGGUCAAGGAUGAGCCCGCGUUGGAUUAGCUAGUUGGUGGGGUAAAGGCCUACCAAGGCGACGAUCCAUAGCUGGUCUGAGAGGAUGAUCAGCCACAUUGGGACUGAGACACGGCCCAAACUCCUACGGGAGGCAGCAGUGGGGAAUAUUGGACAAUGGGCGCAAGCCUGAUCCAGCCAUGCCGCGUGAGUGAUGAAGGCCCUAGGGUUGUAAAGCUCUUCACCGGAGAAGAUAAUGACG
rnacentral:rRNA from 1 species